GCUCUUUUGAGACCUGCCCGAGGCCUACUGU
rnacentral:piRNA from 1 species